UAUUUUGGUGUUUUAGCAAAAAGGAUCUACACUAAAACAUUUCGAACUUGGUGGUAAAAUUUUUUGUGGUGACGAUACUUUAAAAGACAUUUUAUGGAAAAAUAACUUUAUGCCUAAAU
rnacentral:rRNA from 1 species